UCGUAUCUCUCGUCUUCCCCCAAAACCGAAACCCUAAGCGAGCCUCUCCUCUCCCUUUUCUUCUUCCAAAUUCUUCCCAAGAAAAAAAAAACUCUAGCUUUUCGGUGCCCCUAUCUUCUCAAUUCUCGCGGAGAUCCAGGGUUUUCUGCCCUAAAUCGUUAAAGAUUCGACGAUCCAAGGCGGAAGAGGAGCCUAUCUCAAGCAGAGGGUUUUCUGCCCUAAAUCGUCAAAGAUUCGACGAUCCAUGGCGGAAGAGGAGCCUAUCGAGGGUUUUCUGCCCUAAAUCGUCAAAGAUUCGACGAUCCAUGGUGAGAGAGGAGCUGAUCUCAAGCGAUUUCAAGGUAAAUUCUCCCAUCCUCAAGUUCCCAUCGCUGGAUCCAUGGUGGGGAAGUACUUCGAAGAAAAUCAAAGUUGGGAAAGGUAACAUCUUGACCCUUUAAUUGAAGAUAACUUUUUUAUUUUUGUUCAGUUCUGUUGAAAUCAUGUUCUGAUGUUGAUAGCUAGAAACAUACUGUCAUCAAAUUUCUUGAACUUGUCAUCUUUAGAUGUAAAAACCUUCCUUGGCAAUGUAUUUAAUUAACUCGCUUAUU